rnacentral:siRNA from 1 species
AUGGGGUGCGCCUGGUUUCUUC